AAUACACUUAAUUUUUGGGUUCCAUGUCCAACGUUUGACCGUCCGUCUUAUAUAAAAUUUUUUAUGAUUAGUAUUUUAUUAUUGUUAGAUGAUAAAACAUGAAUAAUACUUUAUGCAUGACUUAUCUUUUUAAUUUUUUUUAAAUUUUUUUAAAUAAAACGAACGGUCAAAUGUUAAACACGUAAACUCAG
rfam:Oryza barthii chromosome 7, whole genome shotgun sequence.